UGAACUUUGCCCUGCACAGGUUUGAAGUCAGGGGAACUUCUGAUGGAGGACCGUACGGGUUAUUGAUGUGCAAAUCAUUUUUCUGAUGUAGGUAAAGGUGCGAAAGACUCAUCGAACCACCUAAUAGCUGGUUCCCUCCGAAGUUUCCCUCAGGAUAGCUGUAAUGCAUUUAGUUAAGGGGAGUAGAGAUAUGGGUAGAGGUGCAGGGAGCCUUCGGGUUCUCAACUUAUUUCCAAACUUCGAACCUCCUUGUUAGGCAUUUACCUAACUGGAAAUGCUUAAAUGAAUUAGCGUUACAAGUGGGCUCUGACCGGUAAGCGGUCAUGGCGAAAUGGGAUGAACCAUACGUCUGAAUAAGGUGCCGAAAUGUACUAUCACUGAUACCAUAAAGGGAGUCCAUGUAUUUAGACAGCAGGUCGGUGCCCCUAAAAGCAGGUAUCCGCUAAAGAGUGUGUUAAAACUCACCUGCCGAAUACUAGGGCCCCGAAAAUGAAUGGCGCAUAUAGUACUACCGAUCUCAGACAUCAGUUCUAUUGAACUGAGAGUAGGGGGAUGUGGACAUUUUUGUGAAGGUGCAAUGUGAGUUGGACUGGAAGAAUGUCUAUUACAGAUCCUAAUUGAAGUAGCGAUUAUCCAGGCUUGUAUCCUGGGGGCUGAUGAGGAGUAGGGUUUCUGGACAACUUAAACAGAUCCAGAGUUAGUCGAUCCUAAUCUCAAUAAUGGGAGAAAGGGAGUACAGUUGAUAUUCUGUAACUGACAACAGUUCGCGGCAACGCAUACUAUUUUUCUCCGCCAAUCUUAUACCGUUGGUAGGGAUCUCUUUCCUACAUGACAGUACUAAUACCCAGGGAAACUGGUCAUCAGGCGAACUGCGGCGUUCUGCUGGCAAAACAUAGCUUCGGUUAUGUCAAUGGCUAUUGGAUUGGUCCAUGAAGCGAAAAAUAGUUUACUGUGUCACUCGUACCGAUAACCGCAUCAGGUCUUCUAGGUAAGUAGCCUAUGGCCAUUGAGGCAUGAUAGUUCAGGGAAUUCGGCCAAUUAGAGCUGUAACUUCGGGAUAAAG
rnacentral:ncRNA from 2 species